UACGGAGGGUGCAAGCGUUAUCCGGAUUCACUGGGUUUAAAGGGUGCGUAGGUGGGCAGGUAAGUCAGUGGUGAAAUCUCUGGGCUUAACCCGGAACUGCCGUUGAUACUAUCUGUCUUGAAUAUAGUGGAGGUGAGCGGAAUAUGUCAUGUAGCGGUGAAAUGCUUAGAUAUGACAUAGAACAUCGAUUGCGAAGCAGCUCGCUACACUAUGAUUGACACUGAGGCACGAAAGCGUGGGGAUCAAACAGG
rnacentral:rRNA from 1 species